rnacentral:lncRNA from 10 species
CCUCAGCCUCCCAAGUAGCUGGGACUACAGGCGUCAACCACCAUGCCCAGCCUGUAUCUUUUUUUUUUUUAAUUAAAAACCAUUUUUUUUUUGGCCGGGUGCAGUGCCUCACACCUGUAACCCCAGCACUUUGGGAGACCAAGGCGGGUGGAUCACCUGAGGGCAGGAGUUCGAGACCAGCCUGGCCAACAUGGUGAAACCCUGUCUACUAAAAAUACGAAAAUUAGCUGGGCGUGGUGGUAGGCACCUGUAAUCCCAGCUACUCAGGAGGCUGAGGGAGGUGCUAGGGUCCAGUCUCCAGGGAGUCCCAGAAGGACAGGAGCAGGCUACUGUGGGGCUGGACUAUCAUUCUGACCCCGACUCUGGUCUCCACAGCCUCUGCCUGGCCCUGGCUCUCAUAUAGAGUAGCCUAGAAUCCUGUCUUAAGAAAAAUCAGAAUCACUAAUCCUCAGGGAGAGGCCUUCAAAGCCAUAUGGUGCAGGUUCCUUCUAAUCCUCGAGUCCCUUUUGGAGCAUCCCCACCAGUGUGGGUCUCUAGCUUGUGCUGAGGAAGAGCCAUGACGUAAAGGCCUUGGCCUCUGCUUGAGCAAGCUGUCUCCCGCUCUGAGCUUCAGUUUCCUCACCUGAAACAUGGGCCCAUUUUACAAGGAACGCCUUCCUAGGGUGUGCAUUACUUAACAUACUUUUUGUAAUCCAUUCAAUAAAACAGCUUGCAUAGAACAGGUAUCCUCAAAACGUUAGCUGUGAUUGCCUCAUGUGCCCCAGUCGGGGAACUUACCAUCUCCUCAGACAGUCUUCGGACAUAUUUAUCCUUGUGCCGAGGGGGCUUUGGGCUUCCUGUGACUUCUACUCGGGGUCUUAGUUUGCUCCAUUAAGUCUCAACAGAACAUCUCAUCUCUUUCAUGUGUAAAAGCUCUUCAUAUUUUUGAAGAGAGAGUUCAUUCUUACACUCCAGCUUUUUUUUUUUUUUUUUUACGAUGGAGUCUGGCUCUGUCACCCAGGCUGGAGUGCAGUGGUGCGAUCUCGGCUCACCGCAACCCCUCUGCCUCCCGGGUUCAGGCGAUUCUCCUGCCUCAGCCUCCCAAGUAGCUGGGAUUACAGGCACACACCACUAUGCCCGGCUAAUUUUUGUAUUUUUAGUAGAGAUGGGGUUUCACCAUGUUGGCCAGGCUGGUCUUGAACUCCUGACCUCAAGCAAUCCACCCACCUUGGCAUCCCAAAGUGUUGGGAUUACAGGCGUGAGCCACCGCACCUGGCCCACUCCAUAGUCUUUUUUGCUCAAGGGGAAGCACCCCACUCUUUAAGGCAAGGCAUCUAGGAACCAACUUAUCCUUUAGACACGUAGAUUAGAGCAGGUUUGGAUCUGGAUGCUCCAGAUACCAUAUUUCUGUUAAUGCGGACUAAGCCAGGGUAAACCUUUUCGUAAGCUUUGUCUCAUGGUUGGUCCCAACCACAAAACCUGACAUUCAUCAUCAUGGUAUCUUGUAGUUUUAUCUUUUUUUUUUUUUUGAGACGGAGUUUUGCUCUUGUUGCCCAGGCUGGAGUGCAAUGGCUUGAUCUCGGCUCACCACAACAUCUGCCUCCCAGGUUCAAGUGAUUCUCCUGCCUCAACCUCCCGAGUAGCUGGGAUUACAGGCAUGCACCACCGCGCCUGGCUAGUUUUGUAUUUUUAGUAGAGAUGGGGUUUCUCCAUGUUGGUCAGGCUGGUCUUGAACUCCCGACCUCAGGUGAUCCGCCCGCCUGGGACUCCCAAAGUUUUGGGAUUACAGGCAUGAGCCAUUGCACCCGGCCAGUUUACCACUUCUUAAAAGGGAGUAUCAAGGCCACGGGGAGAUGGCUUUUCUGUGGGCAGUAGCUGCUGCAUCCCAGAAUGAUCCUUGUCUGCUCCUGUGUGACAGAGGUCCAGAGGAGCAGCGGUGUGAGGGUGGAUGGGACACUGCAGAGCUGGUUCUGGGCCAGACAGAACUCAGUUGUAAUCCUAGCUCUUGCACUUCACUGUGUGACUUGGCUAAACCUCAAUUUAUCAUCAAUAAAAUGAAGUGACUACUCCUGUUAUCACUAGGUGAACAGUAAAGCAAUCUACCAUUCCACGUAGCAUAGGGCAGCCAUUCCAUGUUUACCAUCCUGCUGCUUCUAGUAUUUCUCUAAACAUCAAUUACAAGUGGCUCUGGGCUGAGCUGCAUUCAGAAAGAGGCUGGUUUAGCUGGCUUCCUGUGUCCAGGAUGGAGGUAACUGGUCUCCUUUGAAGUUGGAAUGGGUUGAUUCCUCUAAUUUUGUAAACUGCCCAGUUUUCAGAGUGCAGCUUCAGUGGUGGGAACCUCCAAAACCUCAUAAUCUGGGCUUUGGUAUUUGGCUUUCAGCAAUUUCCUUUCUUACCCUUCUCUGGACACCCAUGUGCUCCUGGCCACAACACAGUGAAGACCACCACUGCCUUUCCUGCUCUCCUCAGGAGGCACAGGCUAUUUGUGUCAAGUGUCUACCAAACACCAGCCACAGAUAGCUUCUUAAGUCAUUUCUCUCCUACUGGGAAACUCCAGAGACACCUGCUAUCUCUUUUGUCAAAUUCUUCAGCCUGGCUCAUUGUUCUCAUUUGUGAUGUUAUUUAUAAAGGAAUAUACAGAUGCAAUAAAUUAUCUGUGAUUUCCCUACACCUCUUCCUGAUUCCCACAGUCUCUGAGCAUUACCUGUUUUUCUUGUGAACUCUUACCUGCUUUUUUUGAGAUGGAGUUUCACUCUUGUUGCCCAGGCUGGAGUGCAACGGCACGAUCUUAGCUUACUGCAACCUCUGCCUCCCAGGUUCAAGUGAUUCUCCUGCCUCAGCCUCCUGAGUAGCUGGGAUUACAGGCGCCCGCCACCAACACCUGG